rnacentral:rRNA from 1 species
CAGCAGCCGCGGGAACACAGAGGGUGCGAGCGUUAAUCGGAUUUACUGGGCGUAAAGCGUGCGUAGGCGGCUUCUUAAGUCGGAUGUGAAAUCCCUGAGCUUAACUUAGGAAUUGCAUUCGAUACUGGGAAGCUAGAGUAUGGGAGAGGAUGGUAGAAUUCCAGGUGUAGCGGUGAAAUGCGUAGAGAUCUGGAGGAAUACCGAUGGCGAAGGCAGCCAUCUGGCCUAAUACUGACGCUGAGGUACGAAAGCAUGGGGAGCAAACAGGAUUAGAUACCCCCGUAGUCCCUGUCUCUUAUAA